GCCUUAUAUACGGGAUUACUAUCUCUGCCUGCGGCGUCGAGAAGUAGUAACAGGUCUCCAUUAGUUGUCAUUGAGACGCGGACGACCUUCAUAGUGAAGCAUAAAAUGCAAUUGAAGAUCUAAGCGAUGAAGUCUUAACCUCUCGGUGAGGCACUUGAGCAGGUUGUUUUUUGGCAAAAACCUUUUUUUUCCAGCUUACAAAGAGGUAAAUAAAGAAAAGAAAGGACAAGUCAACUAAGAAACAUCCUGCUCCAGAAGUUACAAAUUAUAAAGCCAUAGAACAGAAAUAAUCUGAAGUCUCAAGCGCAUUAUUUGCCACUGGCUUGGCCCUCAUAACAUUUGCUGAAUGAAUUGGUCAUCUUUUGUGAGACGCAGGGAGUUACAACUUAAAAGGAUGUUUAUAACGUCGGGUCUUUACAAUAAAAUGGGAAGAUCUGAAGAGACCUAGAAGAUAUAACCUAGUAGAAGAUACAACUUCAAGGGCCCAACCAAUAACACAGAGACAUACCCAGAGCCCAAGGUCAGAAGCUGUACCACAGGAGACCCUAACAACACCACCUCUUCUGCCAAGCCACACCAUCAGCGGACGUGUCGCACUCAGCAAUAUUACUAUUACAAUAGCUGUUAAAUGAUCAGCAACCAGCAAUUUCAGCGACGUGUUAUCCUGGUUGCCGCGGGGCUCUCCGGGCAGCGCUGGCGCUGAAGGGGGCGGCGGCGGUGACAUGCUGCAGUCCCUCGCGCCCAACACCGUCAAGCAGUAUCACACGCA